rnacentral:rRNA from 1 species
CUAAGAAUAUUCCGCAAUGGACGAAAGUCUGACGGAGCGACGCCGCGUGGAUGACGAAGGCCGAAAGGUUGUAAAAUCCUUUUGUUGGGGAAGAAUAAGCGUGGGAGGGAAUGCCCGCGUGAUGACAUGAACCGACGAAUAAGUCCCGGCUAACUACGUGCCAGCAGCCGCGGUAACACGUAGGGGACAAGCGUUAUUCGGAAUUACUGGGCGUAAAGGGCAUGUAGGCGGCCUUGUAAGCCUGGCGGGAAAGUCAUCGGCUUAACCGGUGGAUUGCGUUAGGAACUGCAGGGCUUGAGUCAUGGAGAGGAAGGCAGAAUUCCUGGUGUAGGGGUGAAAUCUGUAGAGAUCAGGAAGAAUACCAGUGGCGAAGGCGGCCUUCUGGCCAAUGACUGACGCUGAGGUGCGAAAGUGUGGGGAUCAAACA